rnacentral:rRNA from 1 species
CCUACGGGGGGCAGCAGUGGGGAAUAUUGGACAAUGGGGGGAACCCUGAUCCAGCCAUGCCGCGUGUGUGAAGAAGGCCCUCGGGUUGUAAAGCACUUUCAGUGAGGAAGAACGCCUGGUGGUUAAUACCCAUCAGGAAAGACAUCACUCACAGAAGAAGCACCGGCUAACUCCGUGCCAGCAGCCGCGGUAAUACGGAGGGUGCGAGCGUUAAUCGGAAUUACUGGGCGUAAAGCGCGCGUAGGUGGCUUGAUAAGCCGGUUGUGAAAGCCCCGGGCUCAACCUGGGAACGGCAGCCGGAACUGUCAAGCUAGAGUGCAGGAGAGGAAGGUAGAAUUCCCGGUGUAGCGGUGAAAUGCGUAGAGAUCGGGAGGAAUACCAGUGGCGAAGGCGGCCUUCUGGGCUGACACUGACACUGAGGUGCGAAAGCGUGGGUAGCAAACAGGAUUAGAUACCCUAGUAGUC